AGCGAACGCUGGCGGCAGGCUUAACACAUGCAAGUCGAGCGGAUGUAGCAAUACAUCAGCGGCAGACGGGAGAGUAACACGUGGGAACGUACCCUUCAGUUCGGAACAACCCAGGGAAACGUUAGGGCGUAAUACCGGAUACGUCCGUAAGGAGAAAGAUUUAUCGCUGAAGGAUCGGCCCGCGUCUGAUUAGCUAGUUGGUGAGGUAACGGCUCACCAAGGCGACGAUCAGUAGCUGGUCUGAGAGGAUGAUCAGCCUCACUGGGGACUGAGGACACCGGCCCAGACUCCUACGGGGAGGGCAGCAGGUAGGGGAAUAUUGGACAAUGGGCGGUAAGCCUGAUCCAGCCAUGCCGCGUGAGUGAUGAA
rnacentral:rRNA from 1 species